AUUGAAAGCUGGCGGCAGGCUUAACACAUGCAAGUCGAGCGGAGUGAUGGUGCUUGCACUAUCACUUAGCGGCGGACGGGUGAGUAAUGCUUAGGAAUCUGCCUAUUAGUGGGGGACAACAUCUCGAAAGGGAUGCUAAUACCGCAUACGUCCUACGGGAGAAAGCAGGGGAUCACUUGUGAACUUGCGGUAAUAGAUGAGCCUAAGUCGGUUUAGGUAGUUGGUGGGGUAAAGGCCUACCAAGGCAACAAUCUGUAGGGGGUCUGAGAGGAUGAUCCGCCACACUGGGACUGAGACACGGCCCAGACUCCUACGGGAGGCAGCAGUGGGGAAUAUUGGACAAUGGGGGGAACCCUGAUCCAGCCAUGCCGCGUGUGUGAAGAAGGCCUUAUGGUUGUAAAGCACUUUAAGCGAGGAGGAGGCUCUUUUGGUUAAUACCCAAGAUGAGUGGACGUUACUCGCAGAAUAAGCACCGGCUAACUCUGUGCCAGCCGCCGCGGUAA
rnacentral:rRNA from 1 species